CCUCAUCUGACCAAUGAGAAAGGAUCAGCAUGAAAGGCCCCUUCCAGAGGUACCUGAUUUGUGUGCUGUUCUUCAAUCUCUGGGAGUCUCCUUCUAAUCUAGCAGGCACCCCCAAUCAAGAGAUCUAGCAUCAUGUUGGACUCAUAUAGAUACAAGAGGACAAUCCUGGGAACAAGAACAGGGUGAGCUGAGGAUGAAAUUAGGGUAAGUAUGACAUUGGUUCUAAAGGGACUGGCUGAGCUGAGGGGAGGAGCUUGUUGUAAGAGGGAAGGCUGGAGAAAAGGCUAUUGGAAAUGCUUUGUGAGGAGGCUAUGGGAAGAGGGAGAAGGUCUUGAGAGAGUCAAGACUCCUUUCCAUAAGAAAGUGGGGGCCAUUGAGUAAUAUUCUAGGGCACAGAGGAGUCUUUAGCAGAACCAUUGGCCACAUGUUCUUUGGGCCUGUUAUUCUCCCAAGUGAUGCUUUGUCAUGUUUACUUAGAUAUUCUGGACAUUUUCUUUUCACCCUUAUAAAAGCAACAUGUACUUAUUACAGAAGACUCAAGCAGAAAGAAGAAGAAAAGGCCCCACUCACCAGAAGCAACCACAAGUACCUCAUUAUAUAGCUUUCUAAAGUCUCUUGUAAACAUAUACUUACAACAUGUUUAAUACAAGUGGGGCAAUAUCACAUACACUAUUUUAUAAGGUACUUUUUAAACUUAAUGUGUUGUGAAUAAUAUUUUAUAUCAAUAAACAGACUUCUGUGAUAGGAUUUUUAAGAGCUGCCAAGUUAGUUACAGUAUUCAUAAGCCUUACCCCGCAUUUUGAAGUGUUAAACUUUGCCUUCCAUUUCAGAAAGUUUUUUUUUUCUUUCCCUGUAACAGAAAAACAUUUCCUCUGUAACUGAGAAUGCUAUCUGGAUGUCAUGGGUAUCACCCUGGAACAUUAUCAUUUCUCUYUCUUUUUUCUUUAGCCAAACCUCAGGAGCCGGGAAAAAGGUCUGUAAUGUAUCUGUGGCAAAGUUCCUAGCCACAAAACUUUGGACACAUCUAUAAAAUUAUAAUUUCAGGUGAAGGGAUAUCAUAUGCUUUAUUUCUCUGAAAACUACAAAGGAGAGGUCUAGAGAUAUCAAUAAGUUGCACAUAGCACUGGGUAUGCUGAGUGUAGAAAUCUGGUAGUUAGGCAGGCCCAGUUGGCCAGAGCAUGGCAGGCUUUUCAUGGGCAGAGCUACAUGAUGACUGUUCAGAACUUUAUUUGGGGGUUUCUGAGGCACAGAAGGCCUAGAUGAAAAGAAUAUAUUUUCCUUUUUAUGUAUCGCACCCUUUUUAGGUAAGGAUUCUGAACUGAAGGGAGCGAGAAACUGACCAAACCACAAUGACUUUAUUCCUAAGUGACUAUCUCUCUAUACAACAAGCCUUCUGAAUGUCUACUGGUGGCAAGGAAAGAGAGGGAAUUUUCUUUUCAUUCCAUCUCUACCUCUCCUUCCUUGAACUUAUCCCCCAUCUCCACUUCUUUUUUUUUUAAUUUUUUUUUUUAAAGAGAGAGUGAGAGAGGAAGAGAAU